CGGCGUGGAUUAGGCAUGCAAGUCGAACGAGCGAGGGUCUUCGGAUCCUCGCUAGUGGCGAACGGGUGAGUAAUGCAUGGAUACMUGCCCCGAUGACUGGGACAACCACUCGAAAGGGUGGCUAAUACCGGAUGUGAUCCUCACGGAUCAAAGCUGGCCUCUGUUUACAAGCUGGCGCAUUGGGAGGGGUUCAUGUGCUAUUAGCUAGUUGGUGAGGUAACGGCUCACCAAGGCUAUGAUGGCUAGCCGGCCUGAGAGGGUGUCCGGCCACACUGGGACUGAGAUACUGCCCAGACUCCUACGGGAGGCUGCAGUCGAGAAUCUUCCACCAAUGUGCGAAAGCAUGAUGGAGCGACGCCGCGUGGGCGAUGAAGGCCUUCGGGUUGUAAAGCCCUGUUGGAUGGGCGUAAUCCCUGGGGAUGAAUACUCCUCCAGGUUGAGCUCCCAUCGGAGGAAGCACCGGCUAAACUCGUGCCAGCAGCCGCGGUAAUACGAGUGGUGCGAGCGUUGUUCGGAAUUACUGGGCAUAAAGAGCACGUAGGCGGUCUGGUAAGUCUGCUGUGAAAUCCCCCGGCUCAACCGGGGAACUGCAGUUGAUACUGCUGGGCUAGAGUGCGGGAGGGGAGAGCGGAAUUCCUGGUGGAGCGGUGAUAUGCGUAGAUAUCAGGAGGAACGCCGGAGGCGAAAGCGGCUCUCUGGUCCGCAACUGACGCUGAGGUGCGAAAGCUAGGGGAGCGAACAGGAUUAGAUACCCUGGUAGUCCUAGCCGUAAACGAUGGGCACUAAGUGGAGGGGCUCCCAAGGCCUCUCUGCCGGAGCAAAUG
rnacentral:rRNA from 1 species